rnacentral:rRNA from 1 species
AGGGCGCACGGUGGAUGCCUUGGCACUAGAAGCCGAUGAAGGACGUGACUAACGACGAAAUGCUUUGGGGAGCUGUAAGUGAGCAAAGAUCCAGAGAUGUCCGAAUGGGGGAACCCGGCAGGUAAUGCCUGUCACUCAUUACUGUUAAGGUAAUGAAGAGGAAGACGCAGUGAACUGAAACAUCUAAGUAGCUGCAGGAAGAGAAAGCAAAAGCGAUUGCCUUAGUAGCGGCGAGCGAAAUGGCAAGAGGGCAAACCGAAGAGUUUACUCUUCGGGGUUGUAGGACUGCGAUGUGGACUUAAAGAUUAUAGAAGAACUACCUGGGAAGGUAGGCCAAAGAGAGUAACAGCCUCGUAUUCGAAAUAGUCUUUAUACCUAGCAGUAUCCUGAGUACGGCGAGACACGAGAAAUCUCGUCGGAAUCUGGGAGGACCAUCUCCCAACCCUAAAUACUCUCUAGUGACCGAUAGUGAACCAGUACCGUGAGGGAAAGGUGAAAAGCACCCCGGGAGGGGAGUGAAAUAGAACCUGAAACCGUGUGCCUACAACAAGUUCGAGCCCGUUAAUGGGUGAGAGCGUGCCUUUUGUAGAAUGAACCGGCGAGUUACGAUAUGAUGCGAGGUUAAGUUGAAGAGACGGAGCCGCAGGGAAACCGAGUCUUAAUAGGGCACCAUAGUAUCAUGUCGUAGACCCGAAACCAUGUGACCUACCCAUGAGCAGGUUGAAGGUGAGGUAAAACUCACUGGAGGACCGAACCAGGGCACGUUGAAAAGUGCUUGGAUGACUUGUGGGUAGCGGAGAAAUUCCAAACGAACUUGGAGAUAGCUGGUUCUCUCCGAAAUAGCUUUAGGGCUAGCGUCGAUGUUAAGUCUCUUGGAGGUAGAGCACUGUUUGGGUGAGGGGUCCAUCCCGGAUUACCAAUCUCAGAUAAACUCCGAAUGCCAAUGAGAUAUAAUCGGCAGUCAGACUGCGAGUGCUAAGAUCCGUAGUCGAAAGGGAAACAGCCCAGACCACCAGCUAAGGUCCCAAAAUAUAUGUUAAGUGGAAAAGGAUGUGGGGUUGCACAGACAACUAGGAUGUUAGCUUAGAAGCAGCUAUUCAUUCAAAGAGUGCGUAAUAGCUCACUAGUCGAGUGACCCUGCGCCGAAAAUGUACCGGGGCUAAAACAUAUUACCGAAGCUGUGGAUACCUUUAUAGGUAUGGUAGGAGAGCGUUCUAUGUGCGAAGAAGGUGUACCGUGAGGAGUGCUGGAGCGCAUAGAAGUGAGAAUGCCGGUAUGAGUAGCGAAAGACAGGUGAGAAUCCUGUCCACCGUAAGACUAAGGUUUCCAGGGGAAGGCUCGUCCGCCCUGGGUUAGUCGGGACCUAAGGAGAGACCGAAAGGUGUAUCCGAUGGCCAACAGGUUGAUAUUCCUGUACUAGAGUAUAUAGUGAUGGAGGGACGCAGUAGGCUAACUAAACCAGACGAAUGGAAGAGUCUGGCCAAGCAGUGAGGUGUGAUAUGAGUCAAAUGCUUAUAUCUCUAACAUUGAGCUGUGAUGGGGAGCGAAGUUUAGUAGCGAAGUUAGUGAUGUCACACUGCCAAGAAAAGCUUCUAGCGUUAAUUAUACUCUACCCGUACCGCAAACCGACACAGGUAGUCGAGGCGAGUAGCCUCAGGUGAGCGAGAGAACUCUCGUUAAGGAACUCGGCAAAAUGGCCCCGUAACUUCGGGAGAAGGGGCGCUGACUGAUAGUCAGCCGCAGUGAAUAGGCCCAAGCAACUGUUUAUCAAAAACACAGCUCUCUGCUAAAUCGUAAGAUGAUGUAUAGGGGGUGACGCCUGCCCGGUGCUGGAAGGUUAAGAGGAGUGCUUAGCGUAAGCGAAGGUAUGAAUUGAAGCCCCAGUAAACGGCGGCCGUAACUAUAACGGUCCUAAGGUAGCGAAAUUCCUUGUCGGGUAAGUUCCGACCCGCACGAAAGGCGUAAUGAUUUGGGCACUGUCUCAACGAGAGACUCGGUGAAAUUUUAGUACCUGUGAAGAUGCAGGUUACCCGCGACAGGACGGAAAGACCCCAUGGAGCUUUACUGCAGUUUGAUAUUGAGUAUCUGUACCACAUGUACAGGAUAGGUAGGAGCCUAUGACCUCGGGACGCCAGUUUCGAGUGAGGCGUUGUUGGGAUACUACCCUUGUGUUAUGGCUACUCUAACCCAGAUAGGUUAUCCCUAUCGGAGACAGUGUCUGACGGGCAGUUUGACUGGGGCGGUCGCCUCCUAAAAGGUAACGGAGGCGCCCAAAGGUUCCCUCAGAAUGGUUGGAAAUCAUUCGCAGAGUGUAAAGG